rnacentral:rRNA from 1 species
GACGAACGCUGGCGGCGUGCUUAACACAUGCAAGUCGAACGGAAAGGCCCUGCUUUUGUGGGGUGCUCGAGUGGCGAACGGGUGAGUAACACGUGAGUAACCUGCCCUUGACUUUGGGAUAACUUCAGGAAACUGGGGCUAAUACCGGAUAGGAGCUCCUGCUGCAUGGUGGGGGUUGGAAAGUUUCGGCGGUUGGGGAUGGACUCGCGGCUUAUCAGCUUGUUGGUGGGGUAGUGGCUUACCAAGGCUUUGACGGGUAGCCGGCCUGAGAGGGUGACCGGCCACAUUGGGACUGAGAUACGGCCCAGACUCGUACGGGAGGCAGCAGUGGGGAAUAUUGCACAAUGGGCGGAAGCCUGAUGCAGCAACGCCGCGUGCGGGAUGACGGCCUUCGGGUUGUAAACCGCUUUCGCCUGUGACGAAGCGUGAGUGACGGUAAUGGAUAAAGAAGCACCGGCUAACUACGUG